rnacentral:rRNA from 1 species
UGACCGAUAGUGAACCAGUACCGUGAGGGAAAGGUGAAAAGAACCCUGAACAAGGGAGUGAAAAAGAUCCUGAAACCGUGUGUCUACAAGCGGUCGAAGCCUACGGGCGACGGCGUGCCUUUUGCAUAAUGAUCCUACGAGUUACUCCUCAUUGGCAAGGUUAAGUCUUUAAGGGACGAAUCCGAAGCGAAAGCGAGUCUGAAUAGGGCGACUGAGUAUGAUGGAUUAGACCCGAACCCCGGCGAUCUAGGCAUGGCCAGGUUGAAGGUGCGGUAAAA